GCCAACGUAGCACAAUGGUAGUGCGUUGCUUUCCUAAUGGAUGGGAAUUGAACCCACUUAGGACUACGUAAGGCAGAGGCUGUGGGUUCGAGUCCCACCGUUGGUU